GGAAGGGCACUUUCGGCGGCACCUUCGGCGGCCGAAAGUCCUUCCAGAGCCGAAAGUCAGGCAGGUUCGGCGGCACCUUCGGCGGCCGAAACUCCCAGACAGAGACGAAACUCAUGCAUGUUCGGCGGCACCUUCGGCGGCCGAAAGUCUCGGACAGAGCCGAAACUCAAACUUUCGGGGCAACCUUCGGCAGCCUAAAGCUGCCUCCCAAGCUGGUUCGGCAGCCGAAAGUACCUUCGGCUGCCGAACCUGGUUUCUGCCAAAGGGCAGAAACUUGGUUCUUCAUGCCCAAAACAACCCCCUACACAACCAAUCAUGCAUAAACCUAUUCUACAACAAGCAUACUCAAACAUACAAGCUCCUAGGGGUCUCCAACAAGCUUAAACCCCAUCUACAACACACAAGCAAGCCACAUUGCACAUAAACACACAUUAAACCAUGGAUUUUUCAUAAAAACCCAUCAAGCCUACUCAUGCAUUUCUACCCCAAAAACUUGCAUAAAACUUACUCAAAACACAUAUAGAACUAGAGAUCGGCUCUUACCUCUUGAAGAGCGAGAGAAAAACGAUCCUAGCUCGAAGAUGGGGAGAUUCGAGUUCUUGAACUUCAAAGCUCCAAAACUUGCUUAAACUUUAAAACUCUUCAAAAACAAGAUGUAACUUGUUAAGAUCUAAAGGAUUUGAGGAAAAACACUUGAAAUGACCAUAGGAGGGCUAAAGCUUACCGUCGGCCGAAAUGGGAGAGAAAACCUCGCCUGUUUCGGUCACGGGGUCUCUUAUAGGGCUGGUUCUGCCACCUUUCGGCGGCCUAACGUGCCCCCACAUCUCAUGCAUGUUCGGCGGCCGAACAUGAGGUUCGGCGGCCGAACCUUGAGCCUUUCAAACAAGGCUUUCGGAGGCCUAAAG
rnacentral:lncRNA from 1 species